rnacentral:rRNA from 1 species
CGCGUAGGUGGCCAAUUAAGUCAAAUGUGAAAUCCCCGAGCUUAACUUGGGAAUUGCAUUCGAUACUGGUUGGCUAGAGUAUGGGAGAGGAUGGUAGAAUUCCAGGUGUAGCGGUGAAAUGCGUAGAGAUCUGGAGGAAUACCGAUGGCGAAGGCGACUUACUGGACAGAUACUGACGCUGAGGCGCGAAAGCGUGGGGAGCGAACAGGAUUAGAUACCCUUGUA